AUUGAACGCUGGCGGCAGGCCUAACACAUGCAAGUCGAACGAGUGGCGGACGGGUGAGUACUGUCUGGGAAACUGCCUGAUGGAGGGGGAUAACUACUGGAACCGGUAGCUCAUACCGCAUACCAUCGGAUGUGCCCAGAUGGGAUUAGCUAGUAGGUGGGGUAACGGCUCACCUAGGCGACGAUCCCUAGCUGGUCUGAGAGGAUGACUAGCCACACUGGAACUGAGACACGGUCGAGACUCCUACGUGGGGCAGCAGUGGGGAAUAUUGCACAAUGAGCGAAAGCCGGAUGCAGCCAUGCCGCGUGUAUGAAGAAGGCCUUCGGGUUGUAAAGUACUCUCAGCGAGGAGGCGUUACUCGCAGAAGAAGCACCGGCUAACGCCGUGCCAGCAGCCGCGGUAAUAC
rnacentral:rRNA from 1 species